rnacentral:snRNA from 1 species
AAAAAGGGCUUCUGUCGUGAGUGGCACAUGGUAGGGCAACUCGAUUGCUCUGUGUGCAGAAUUGACAUCAAGAGAUUUUGGAAGCAUAAUUUUUUGGUAUCUGGGCAGCUG